rnacentral:rRNA from 1 species
UACGAAGGGGGCUAGCGUUGCUCGGAAUCACUGGGCGUAAAGAGCUCGUAGGCGGCCAGUUGCGUCUGCUGUGAAAUCCCGGGGCUCAACCCCGGGCUUGCAGUGGAUACGGGCUGGCUGGAGGCAGGCAGGGGAGAACGGAAUUCCCGGUGUAGCGGUGAAAUGCGCAGAUAUCGGGAGGAACACCGGUGGCGAAGGCGGUUCUCUGGGCCUGUACUGACGCUGAGGAGCGAAAGCGUGGGGAGCGAACAGG